CUAAGGCCAACGGGAGAAGGGUUGUUAAGGAACUCGGCAAAUUGACCCCGUAACUUCGGGAGAAGGGGUGCUCCAGAGAUGGAGCCGCAGAGAAUCGGCCCAAGCAACUGUUUACCAAAAACACAGGUUUGUGCUAAAUCGAAAGAUGACGUAUACGAGCUGACGCCUGCCCGGUGCUGGAAGGUUAAGAGGAGAUGUGCAAGCAUUGAAUCGAAGCCCCAGUGAACGGCGGCCGUAACUAUAACGGUCCUAAGGUAGCGAAAUUCCUUGUCAGGUAAGUUCUGACCCGCAUGAAAGGCGUAAUGAUUUGGGCACUGUCUCAACAGCCCGCCCGGCGAAAUUGUAGUACCGGUGAAGAUGCCGGUUACCCGCGACAAGACGGAAAGACCCCAUGGAGCUUUACUGUAGCCUAAUAUUGGGUUUCGAUGUUGCAUGCACAGGAUAGAUGGGACACUGGGAAGCAGGUGCUUUGGCGUUUGUGGAGUGGCCGUUGGGAUACCAUCCUUGCGAUAUUGGAAUUCUAACCUGCGCCUUUGAAUCAAGGCGGGGGACAUUGUUAGGUGGGCAGUUUGACUGGGGCGGUCGCCUCCUAAAGAGUAACGGAGGCGUUCAAAGGUUCGCUCAGCUUGAACGGAAAUCAAGCAAAAGAGUGCAAACGCAGAAGCGAGCCUAACUGCGAGACUGACGGGUCGAGCAGUAACGAAAGUUGGAGUUAGUGAUCCGGUGGUAUGUGAGUGGAAAUGCCAUCGCUCAACGGAUAAAAGUUACCCUGGGGAUAACAGGCUGAUCUCCCCCAAGAGUCCACAUCGACGGGGAGGUUUGGCACCUCGAUGUCGGCUCAUCGCAUCCUGGGGCUGUAUUCGGUCCCAAGGGUUUGGCUGUUCGCCAAUUAAAGCGGUACGCGAGCUGGGUUCAGAACGUCGUGAGACAGUUCGGUCCCUAUCUGUCGUGGGCGCAGGAUAUUUGAUGGGAGCUGUUCCUAGUACGAGAGGACCGGAGCGGACGUACCUCUGGCGCACCAGUUGUUCUGCCAAGAGCAUAGCUGGGCAACUAUGUACGGAUCGGAUAAACGCUGAAAGCAUCUAAGCGUGAAGCCGACCCAAAGAUAAGAUAUCCCAUUGUUUCAAACAAGUAAGACCCCUUGAAGACUACAAGGUUGAUAGGCACGAUGUGUAAGUGGAGUGAUCCAUUCAGCAAGCGUGUACUAAUAGGUCGAGGGCUUGACCAC
rnacentral:rRNA from 1 species